ensembl:snRNA U2 U2 spliceosomal RNA
AUCGCUUCUCUGCCUUUUGGAUAAGAGUAAAUGUAAUAUCUGUUCUUGUCAGUUUAAUAUGUGAUACGUCUUCUUCCGAGGACAAUAUAUUAAUUGUAUUUUUGGAUCAGGGAGAAACAAAAAAAAAAGAGAGACUCCAU